rnacentral:tRNA from 1 species
GGAGAGGUGGGUGAGUGGCUGAAACCAACGGUUUGCUAAACCGUCAAGUCGGGUAAACCGGCUUCGCGGGUUCGAAUCCCGCCCUCUCCGCCA